CAUACACUACUACAACAACAACGUCCUCUCUAGGAGGAACAACAGAUACUUCUGGGUCGAACACUGGUACCAUGAUUGCUAUUGGAAAGAUGCCUGUCAUUCUGGCAGUGCUGAUUACUAAUUUGUUCAUCAGACAAUGAACAUG